AACCACAGCAACAGCAGCCGAAGCCGAAGUCAAGUGGCGGCUCGUGUGCGACAGCGACGUCGAGACAGCUUCGUGCGCUGCCAAAGAGCGAAAUGAUGAUUACUUAAGCAGUGACUAACUAAACCAGCGUUAACAGUGUGCGGAGCGCACGAGCCAAACGAAGCGGCGUAGCAAAGCCAGAGGCUAAACCGGCGUCGCUGUCACCGUCGCCGUCGCCGUCGCCGUCGCUAAAGCCCAGUUUCAUAUAACAACUAACUACACUCUGGAAUUGUCACAGCUAAUGGCCUGGCAGUUAUAAUUAGUUGCACUUUGUGACAACUUUAUCACUGGCUUUGACGGCCGCAAGCGAAUUUGCUCAUUAAAGCCAGACGCUAGACGCCAGACGCGAGACGCGAGAGAUGAGAAAUGAGAGAGCGGCAACUAUUGCAGCAGAGGAAUGAGCACACAACAGAAAGCCAGCCGAAGCCAGUGACAGGCAACAAUGGCAGAUGAAGUACAGUAAGCGCUUAUUAAAUGCGCUGAAUGCAAAUAAAACUUUUAAGCUAAAUAGAAAAUGGCGACGGAGGACCAUAAGGACGAGCAUCUGGGAGCAUCGAGAAACAAUGGCCGGAAAUUCGCGCUGCGGAAGCCAAAAACAACAAUAACAGCUAAAGCAGCAGCAGCAACGGCAGCAGCAACGCCACUUGGGAGCCCGUCAGUCGGCCACAAAAAGCAGCUGGGUCCCGUCCUUGCCCCACUCAAAGGAUUUCGCCUGGCGCGGCACAAAACAAAGCGAGCGUAUAAUGUUGCGCUAUAGAGCAGAAUUUGGGGCAAGGGUGGCAUAGUGAACGGGGCGGACGACAGGGCUGAUUGGUUAUUUCUCCCCAGCCUUCAACCGGCUGCAAGUUUUACUCGCCACCCCCCACCACCCCAAAGAGAAAAGUUAUGAAUUGUUCAAGCUGAUUUUCAUAUCAAAUAUUUUAUAUUUUUUUCUCUGCCAAUGCUGGAAAAGUUGGAGUGCAUAAAUCAAAAGCUCUGCAUGUCCAUCUACUUCAGAAACACUUGCCGUCCCUUUCAUGCGGUGUCACUUGGCAUAUUGAUUAAUGAGCCAUGAGCAACUGCACAUAGCUUGGCACUUAGCACGUGCUGGCCGGGUCCAAAGUCAGGUACAAGGACAUCAGCAACGGCAACAGCGGCUACAAAUGUUAUUUAUGGGCGCCUCAGAAUGCAAUUUGUUGUGGUCAACAAAUCGCCAUACAAAUCGCGAACGGGAGAUCAUUAGAGAAUCAGAGACAGACAAUCUGAGAGCACGAGAGAGCCAGAGAGAGAGAGUGGGAGACAGGGGGGGGAGUGACAAAGAUGGGCGAGUAUUUUGCCCAAAAAAUAAGCAGCACGGUAAGCAAGUUGAUUAGUCACGUCCAAGGAAUGCC